GAUGAAGAACGUAGCGAAAUGCGAUAAGUAGUGUGAAUUGCAGAAUUCAGUGAAUCAUCGAAUCUUUGAACGCACAUUGCGCCCUUUGGUAUUCCUUAGGGCAUGCCUGUUCGAGCGUCAUUUAAACCUUCAAGCUAAGCUUGGUGUUGGGUGACUGUCCGCUUCACUGCGGACUCGCCUCAAAAUUAUUGGCGGCCGGUACAUUGGCUUCGAGCGCAGCAGAAACGCGAACUCGGGCCCGUCGUAUUGGCUCGCAGAAGCUAUCUUCACAAUUUUGACCUCGGAUCAGGUAGGGAUACCCGCUGAACUUAAGCAUAUCAAUAAGCGGAGGA
rnacentral:misc_RNA from 1 species